rnacentral:lncRNA from 1 species
AUAAACCAUAAAUAACAUGGCAAGCAAACGGAAAAGAUAAACAAAAACAAAAACAAAAGGGGGCACAUAAAUAAUUAUAUGACCAUAAACCGUAAAUAAAAUGACAUGCAAUAGCAACACCGUCCCAACCCCGGUAGAGAAGAGCGAAAACAUUCUAGAAGCCUCUAUCCUACAACCCUGAUACUAGACCUCCAAACUUUCCUAUCAAGGGUUAUGUCUUGCCUAAUCACCUCUCCCCAGCGCCUCUUUGGCCUCCCCCUGCCUCGACCCG